CCAAGGAAGAGGAAGAUAAACUCCUUAUCUGCGUAAAGUGGCUCCAGGUCUACAGCGAGGCUGGUUACUGUUAAUAAUAUUAUCAACAACAACCACAAGGAUAAUAAUAAACUUGGGCUUUUGGAAACGAGCAGUUCUGGCACAAGUUGGGGGAAAGCUCACUCCAUAACGGUGUCAGAAAGAACCGGAGGUUUUAGUGACCUCGAUUCUUUAUAUGAGUCCACUGUAGUCUUCCUCAGGCAAAGAAAGAUGAGGAGAUCCCGGGUGAGGGAGGGGAUAGUCCAUAUCGAUUCUAGCCAGUUAGAUCUGGUCGAGAUGGGAGGGACUCCAGAAGCUCAAGUUCAUCAGCACCACCUUCCACUUUCUCUUAUUUGACAGGUUGGGAAACUGAGGCACCAAGAACAUAAGCAGCAAAUGCCCAAUCAAGUCUGAAGCAGGAUUGGAAACCAGAUCUUCUUGCCUCCAACUCUAGUGCUCUACCCACCACACCAUGCUGCUCUUCCAUUAGGUCCAAUCCUCUCAUUCUUAGAGCCAAAGAGGAACAUGAAUAGCCAAGGUAACCCGUGACCUGCAGAAAUCUCAAACUCCAAAGUUGAGGAAUGUAAAAGAGUUAUGGCCUGGCCAAGAAGAAGUCUGAUGGGACAAAAAGAGUGCUGGCUUUGGAAGCCAAAGAUAUGGUUUUCUGUGACCUUGGACCUCGCUGGGCCUCAGUUUUCCCAUCUAGAAAAUAAGAGGGCUGGAUUAGGUGGACCCCAAGAUCUUGUUCAGCUCCAAAUCUUUUGUCUGUAUAGAAAUCCAGGUUUGUAACCAUACAUGUAUACAAAAUGCAAACAAAUACUUCUUUAAAGGUGUUUGUGGGGGGAAAAAAUUAAGGUAUUGGUGGGCUUUAAAAAGACUUGUGGGGAGUCUAACCCAGGGGAAUUGCUUGUCAGCUCUGGGAGAGGAGAGGGAAGAGGAGGGACUCAUGAAUCAUGGAACCAUGGAAAAAUAUUCUAAAUAAAUAAAAAUUUUAAAAAUAAAAUAAAAUAAAAAAUACUUGUGGGGGACAACUGAAUGGCUCAGUGGAUUGAGAGCCAGGUCCAGAGAAUGGAGGUUCAAAUCUGAACUCAGACACUUCCUAGUUGUGUGACCCUGGGUAAGUCACUUAACUCCUAUUGCCUAGUCCUGACUGUUCUUCUGCCUU